rnacentral:rRNA from 1 species
GACGAACGCUGGCGGCGUGCCUAAUACAUGCAAGUAGAACGCAGUUGCGAACGGGUGAGUAACGCGUAGGUAACUGCCUGGUAGCGGGGGAUCACUAUUGGAAACGAUAGCUAAUACCGCAUACUACCAGAUGGACCUGCGUUGUAUUAGCUAGUUGGUGAGGUAACGGCUCCCCAAGGCAACGAUACAUAACCGACCUGAGAGGGUGGUCGGCCAAACUGGGACGGAGACACGUCCCAGACUCCUACUGGUGGCAACAGUAGGGAAUCUUCGGAAAUGGGGGGAACCCUGACCGAGCAACGCCGCGUGAGUGAAGAAGGUUUUCGGAUCGUAAAGCUCUGUUGUGAAGGAAGCGGUACUUAACCAGAAAGGGACGGCUAACUACGUGCCAGCCGCCGCGGUAAUUC